CAGGGGGGCCGAGCGGGCCGCGGAGGUCCCGGGUCGCUGGCCGGGGACACCCCCGGCCCCUGGCCGCUCGCCCCCCUUGGGUCGCGCCGGCUCCCUCGCUCGCUCCUCGGCUUUCCUUUUCCUCCUUCCUGGAGAUUUUUGUGCCAAACACGCGCAGAGCCCUCCCGAGGGCUCCUCGCCGGGCCCUUUCGGGCUUGUUUUUAACUCGACAAGUUUCGCUCAACUCUAGUCAGCCCGCCCUCCCUUUUCACUCUCGUUUCUGUUUCUUGCCGGUGCUCAGAGCUCAUCGCAAUCUGAGCUUCCCUGUCGUUAAAUCUCUGUCAGAGCUCCAGUUUACGAAGCCCUGCGCGGGCGCUGAGGUUGUGCCAAGCCGGUGCAGAGUGAGGGUUUCCCAAAUAAGGCAGGCAAGCGGCGCGAUGUUCCCUUUGAAAUCCAUCUAGGUAGCCCUGGCAUAGGCUCUUAGGGAGCCUGGUUGUGGUGGGAUACCCGGGAGAUUAAGCUGAGUAGGCCUUUUAAGGAGUCGGUAGCACAAAAGAGGAUGAUGAAUGAUUCUUCUUUUAGGAAGGAGCCUGAGUGGCUCCACUGUUCACUCUGUUUAGUAAGAUGCUGUGAAGCAAAUGGGAGUUCUGAGCAAGCAGAAGAGAUAACAUGACAGGGUUCUUGUACUAAUAGAGGUCAAAAUAAAGAGUGUUUUGGAUGAA